GUCUCAGUCUCCUCCACAGCUUCUGACGAGAGACAGUCACAGCUUUUGGAACUUCAGAAGUGGGGCCACCUACAGUACCUCCAGACAGUGAAGGAGAACUGGGGACAAAGACAAGGCGCUCUGGGAGCUCAGAAGAAUUGACUAGUUCUACUGAUGAAGAGGAAAAGGAAUAGCGGUGGUUUAAGAUACACACCAGGCCCACCAGAAGCAGUUUGUGUUCAGCUGGCAAGGCUAUCACCUUCAUUGUCCUAUCUCAAAGAUUUUCUGGUCAGUGGAGUUGGAAUGAGAAAAAUCAAUCAGUGCCCUACCAAUGCAUCAUCCAGCAAGACUAAGAAAUCCUCAACUACUGGGACAAGGUGGGAGAAUAUUUCAUUUCUUUACCAGUGUCUGUCCUCUGGCUCAGUGACUCCCAGAACUUGACUCAUCAGAAAACCAGGGAUCCAUGACUCAAUGAGUGAAUACCAUCUUGUCCUGAGUUCCCACAUGCCAUCAUGAUGACCAUCCUAUGCAAUUUGGAAUUUUGGCCCUAAAUGAUCUUUCUCAACAAAUCAGAUGUAGUACAACAUGAAGAAAUGGGAGUUUACCAAGAAAAUUGUGGAACACAAAUACCAGAGACCUGGGUCCUCA
rnacentral:lncRNA from 1 species